UUCACUUCUGACAGCAGUUAUUACGUUUUUAAUUUAUGGCUGGUAUUAUGUUCGCUUUUCAGAGUUGAAAACCUUUGCCACUGCCUUAUAUAUCUCUUGCUGGCCACAUCGAUAUUUCGAGAAUACCCAAACUCUUCUAUUGAUAUCUGCUUAAGCUGACCAGUUUUGACAAAAACACAUACAUAACAUUAUACUUGACAGGCAAACGCAUACACUUACAUUUAUUGAACAAGCAGGUGGGGCCAAACGAAAGUAACACACACAUUAUAACGAAUAAAAGAAUAACAACAAAGAUCAAUUAAGAAAUUAUAGGAAAUACUAUUGAAAAUUUCAAUCACGAGGUUACAAAAUGUUCGUGAUAUUUUUUUGAAGAAACCAUUCAAAGUAAUACUGCCAGAUAGACAUCAACAAAUCCUCAAGAAUCAACAUCGGAGUACCUCCACAGAUAUAUGGAUAUAAAGUUAGCUUUGCUGAGAAUCCAUCAACAUAUAAAUUACAUUACAUGUCCUGAUAUUGAUAAAUGGUUGGAAGCAAUGCAUGAGGAGAUGUAUCAAUGCAUGAAAACCAUUUUUAUAAUUUAAGCGAGAUACGAUAAACGAAAGAAUUUGUUGAGCCAAGAACAGAAAAUUUGGUCUGUAAAUUGAAGAAAAGUAUACGUGGCCUUAAGCAAUCGACUCGCUGUUGAAAUCUUCGUAUUAACGACGUAUUAAUUAAUGCUGGAUUCAGAAGGGGAGAAGCCGAUCCAUGUCCUUAUGUCAAAGGAGACAAACAGUCCACCAUUUAUGUAUUAAUUUAUGCUAAUAAUAGCGAGAUAAGAAAUGUAACCUAGACACUCAAGCAUAAUUUUGAAAUUACCGAAUUGGGUGAUUUGAAACUGUAUUUGGGAAUAGAGAUUCAAAGUGAUAAUGAUGAAAAAUUUUAUCUAUCUCAAGAAAGUUAUAUUAAGAAAAUUUUGAAUGAAUUUAAGCUUUCGGAUGUCAAGCCCUCUUGAUCACGGAUAUUUGAAGGAUGUUGCCGAGCAAAAAUUGUUAACUGACAAUCACUUGUAUAAAUAAUCAAUUGGAUCGUUAUUGGCUGUCUCAAUUCUGUCUAAGAAAGCUAGCAGCCCAAGUUGAGGAGAUGGGUCUGAAGUAAAGCGAAUUUUGAAAUAUCAAAAACGAAGUAUCAAUCUUAAGUUAUGUAUCGGUUUCAAGACUUCGUUAGAUUUGUAAAGCCCGGGUGAGCGAUGUUUGAUUAAUAAAAAUGAAUGAAUGAAUGAGA